rnacentral:lncRNA from 1 species
AGGUUCGUCCCACAUACUAGAGCUGACAAACGCCAUAUUCACGCCAAGGAAUUUUGAAAGCAAAUAUGUCACAUUAAUGAUGAUGACGAUGACGACGACGACGAAGAUGGUCAGAAAAUGAUUAGGAAAGAACACCCUGGCAGCCUUUGUUGCUAGAAUCUGCUCAUGGGCAAAUGGCAAAGCUAUUCACAUGGAAGACAUUAAACCAUCAAGUGAGAUUGGAAGCUGACUGUGCACAGGGUGCACUGUCAUUUCUUCUGCAAAGCACCGUAGUAUUCCUGUUUGAUCUGAGCCUGGGGUCACUGUGUCAGGACUGCCGGUGAAGAAGAGAAAGUAACUCACAAAGAAAAAUGACACGUUCUCCAGGAUCACACAGGGUAUCCAGUGCACACAUCUGAAGAUUCCUCUCCUGCCAGCCCUUAGAGUGAAUCUGUGAAUGUGGCUGUUCUGAGAUUACCACCAUAUCAAGCUUGGGCAUCCUUUCUUACACUCAGCUCUGUUUCUAGCUCAUCUUGCCUCUCACAGUGCAACUAAGAGCAAGCUCCGUACGCUGCUUUCACCGUACCUUAAGGAAACCCUCCACGGCCC